rnacentral:lncRNA from 1 species
AUUGAAUGAAUAUACCACAGUUUAUUUAUCGAUAAUUCUGUUCAUAUGUAUUUGGGGUUUUACUGAACCAAGGCUUGUAAGAAAAAAAAAGCUGCUAUAAACAUUAUUUUACUUGUCCAUUAGUGAAUACAUGUAGAAAUUUAUUUUGGGCAUAUUACUAAAACUAUGUAUAUGUCUAUAAGUAAUAUGGGAUAUGUGUAUCAGGGAGUUACUAGGUGUCAAGUAGUUUUCUAAAGUGUUAAGUUUAUGAGAUUUGUUUUACUUCAUCUUCUCACUAAAACUUGAAAUUAUCUGUUUUUUCUUUCCUAUUUUUGUUUCACUCAUAAAGCUCUUUGAUCUAUUGUAUAGCUUUGGGACAUAAGUUGCUUUUCUUAGGUAACAUCAAACAUGUUUUAAAGUUAUUCAUUGUCUAUUUAGUUAGCUUACUUUUAGAGUGACUGUCUACACCUGUGUUUAUUUUCCUUUUUGGUUGUCUAAUUGUUUAGAUUUUUUAAAAUUAUUAUUAUACUUUAAGUUCUAGGGUACAUGUGCACAACGUGCAGGUUUGUUAAAUAUGCAUAUACAUGUGCCAUGUUGGUGUGCUGCACCCAUUAACUCGUCAUUUGCAUUAGGGACAUGGAUGAAGCUGGAAACUAUCAUUCUAAUUUUUUUGAUUCUUAAAUUAUUUUUAAUCUUCUGAGUAUAACAUUAUUGACUUUUUGUAUCCUGUGUAAUAAAUAUUUGCUUACACCAAUAUCAUAAAAUAUUUUUCUUUUUUUCUUUUUUUUUCUAAAUGCUCACUUGUUUAACCUUUCAGAUUUAGGACUGUAAUACAUAAAGGAAAUUUUUUGUAUAUGUUGUCAAUAAUAUACUAAAACCAUUUUUUCCUAUAUUUGUAUCCAAUCGACAUAGAACCAUUUAUUUUAAUAAAACAUUUUAACACCCUAGUAUAGUGCUUUAAGCUUAAGUCAGAUGAAUGUGUAUGAGUGACUCCAUUGCUGGACUCCUUCUCCACCCAUUCUUCUUUUUUUUUUUUAAUUUCCUUGGUCAGUUUGUCUAUUUUUGAUAGAAAAAAACAAACUAAUAAAACCUAUAUAUACACACACACACACACACACACACACACAUACAUAUAUAAAGGUUGAAAGUGAAAGAAAA